AGAUGAUAAUGCUGCGGGAAGUAUUCCGCAAGGCCUGGGUCCAAGCUCGGGAACUGAAUAGGACGCAUCCUUUAUGCACCAUUCUGUGUAACUUACGGUUCACUCACGGGCCUGACAGAAUUAUCACAAUAAACUCUAGAAAAGAAGAUAAUUUCAAAAUGGAAGAAACUCAAAGUUGAGAAACUCGAUUUUUUGUCCGUUGCAAGAUACACUGCUGUGGGCGGAACAGUGUUUUCACCUAUACUGUUCUACUGGUAUAGUUGGCUAGAUAAAGUAUACCCAGGGGUUCAACUAAAGACUGUUCUUAAGAAGGUUUUUUUGGAUUCAACUGUCCUCGAGGUUCCUCUUGUUGCAAUGUUUUAUCUUCUCAUCAACUUCCUUUAGGGAAUACCUGCCGACAAGUCUAUGGAGGAACUUAGAUUGAAAAUUAUCCCAACAUUGAUUCUUGGUCUUAUUUUUUGGAUUCCUGUUCAGAUAAUCAAUUUUAGAUUUCUCUCACCACAAGCACGGGUUCCUUUUAUCGCAGUGUGUACCUUUCUUGAGGUUAAUGGUCUUUGUUUCCUAAAGAAGCUUGAUUUACAGUAUUUUAAAUCUUAGUAUUUUUAAUAGUAUUUAUAGGAUAAUUGAUGAUUUUUUUUAAAUUAAGUAUUAUCCAGAGACUCCUGAAGAAAUUUUAUUUGGGAGUGUUUUCUUAUUCUUAUCUUAUUUUAUAUUUCUUAUUUUUAAACUAAAGUAAUCCUAUAGAUAUUGAACCUAAAUAAUUUGUUAUCUCGGCGGAAGUUUUCAAUAUUAGGAAAUAAAUUUUCUGUGGCUUCAAAAUAAAAUUGUAAAAUUAAAUAUAGUCAUUUUUAUUCAGUUAUUUAACCAGACCACCACAACCUCGGAAAAAAUUAUGACAUUUUCUAUAUAUUUAGAAUUCUGUUUCUUUUUAAGGUUU